UAAGGUAGCACAAUUCGACAUAACACUUGUGUCCAGCUAUGUUAAUGACUGGGUCAAAACUCUAACAAGUUGUCAAUCGCUCCAUUGUGACUGCGCACGUGUGUUUGGGAUUACAGGAUUUUCCAAAUAAGUAUACAAAUUUCGAGUCAGCUGUGAUGCAAAAUAUAAUUUUUAAGAAGCUGAUAGGCUACCACGCGGUGUGUGGUAGUAUUUCAUUGGGUAAAUGGUUGGAGGCCUUUCUUAGGUGGAUCGCUUAAACAGAAGCAUUGCAAACAUCUCAGGUCAAAGGGGGUCCAAGCAGUGAUUCUUGAUCCUGGAGCCCUGCUGAUUUUGUUCUCUUUUUUUCCCUCUUAUUUUCUGCUGAAGGAGUUUGUGAAGCUGAAACUUAGGUCUACAACUCAUCAAAACUGGCAGAGCAAGUUUAUCCAAGACUACCUCCAGAAUUUGGGAGUGGAGAGGGCGGAAUGGCCUGCCAGCAGUCCUGACCUCAACCCCAUUGAAAACUUGUGGAAUCAGCCUGGGUGUGCUGUGUAUGGUUCUUCAAAGCUGAGGCUCCUUUUUGUCAGAUGAAUAAAAUGUUAAAUUUAAAA